rnacentral:rRNA from 1 species
UUUGCCCUACGGGAGGCAGCAGCCGCGGUAAUACGUAGGGGGCAAGCGUUAUCCGGAUUUACUGGGUGUAAAGGGAGCGUAGACGGCCAGACAAGUCAGAAGUGAAAGCCCAGGGCUCAACCCUGGGACUGCUUUUGAAACUGCCGGGCUGGAGUGCAGGAGAGGUAAGCGGAAUUCCUAGUGUAGCGGUGAAAUGCGUAGAUAUUAGGAGGAACACCAGUGGCGAAGGCGGCUUACUGGACUGUAACUGACGUUGAGGCUCGAAAGCGUGGGGAGCAAAC